rnacentral:rRNA from 1 species
AUGAACGCUAGCGACAGGCUUAACACAUGCAAGUCGAGGGGCAGCACAGGUAGCAAUACCGGGUGGCGACCGGCGCACGGGUGAGUAACGCGUAUGCAACUUGCCUAUCAGAGGGGGAUAACCCGGCGAAAGUCGGACUAAUACCGCAUGGAGCAGGGGCCCCGCAUGGGGAUAUUUGCUAAAGAUUCAUCGCUGAUAGAUAGGCAUGCGUUCCAUUAGGCAGUUGGCGGGGUAACGGCCCACCAAACCGACGAUGGAUAGGGGUUCUGAGAGGAAGGUCCCCCACAUUGGUACUGAGACACGGACCAAACUCCUACGGGAGGCAGCAGUGAGGAAUAUUGGUCAAUGGCCGAGAGGCUGAACCAGCCAAGUCGCGUGAGGGAUGAAGGUUCUAUGGAUCGUAAACCUCUUUUAUAAGGGAAUAAAGUGCGGGACGUGUCCCGUUUUGUAUGUACCUUAUGAAUAAGGAUCGGCUAACUCCGUGCCAGCAGCCGCGGUAAUACGGAGGAUCCGAGCGUUAUCCGGAUUUAUUGGGUUUAAAGGGUGCGUAGGCGGCCUUUUAAGUCAGCGGUGAAAGUCUGUGGCUCAACCAUAGAAUUGCCGUUGAAACUGGGGGGCUUGAGUAUGUUUGAGGCAGGCGGAAUGCGUGGUGUAGCGGUGAAAUGCAUAGAUAUCACGCAGAACCCCGAUUGCGAAGGCAGCCUGCCAAGCCAUUACUGACGCUGAUGCACGAAAGCGUGGGGAUCAAACAGGAUUAGAUACCCUGGUAGUCCACGCAGUAAACGAUGAUCACUAGCUGUUUGCGAUACACUGUAAGCGGCACAGCGAAAGCGUUAAGUGAUCCACCUGGGGAGUACGCCGGCAACGGUGAAACUCAAAGGAAUUGACGGGGGCCCGCACAAGCGGAGGAACAUGUGGUUUAAUUCGAUGAUACGCGAGGAACCUUACCCGGGUUUGAACGCAUUCGGACCGAGGUGGAAACACCUUUUCUAGCAAUAGCCGUUUGCGAGGUGCUGCAUGGUUGUCGUCAGCUCGUGCCGUGAGGUGUCGGCUUAAGUGCCAUAACGAGCGCAACCCUUGCCACUAGUUACUAACAGGUUAGGCUGAGGACUCUGGUGGGACUGCCAGCGUAAGCUGCGAGGAAGGCGGGGAUGACGUCAAAUCAGCACGGCCCUUACAUCCGGGGCGACACACGUGUUACAAUGGCGUGGACAAAGGGAUGCCACCUGGCGACAGGGAGCGAAUCCCCAAACCACGUCUCAGUUCGGAUCGGAGUCUGCAACCCGACUCCGUGAAGCUGGAUUCGCUAGUAAUCGCGCAUCAGCCAUGGCGCGGUGAAUACGUUCCCGGGCCUUGUACACACCGCCCGUCAAGCCAUGGGAGCCGGGGGUACCUGAAGUCCGUAACCGAAAGGAUCGGCCUAGGGUAAAACUGGUGACUGGGGCU